rnacentral:piRNA from 1 species
UGGAGGCUGGAUGAUUCUUAAACAUA